AACGAACGCUGGCGGCAUGCCUAACACAUGCAAGUCGAACGAGACCUUCGGGUCUAGUGGCGCACGGGUGCGUAACGCGUGGGAACCUGCCCUUAGGUUCGGAAUAACUCCCCGAAAGGGGUGCUAAUACCGGAUAAUGUCUUCGGACCAAAGAUUUAUCGCCUUUGGAUGGGCCCGCGUUGGAUUAGCUAGUUGGUAGGGUAAAAGCCUACCAAGGCGACGAUCCAUAGCUGGUCUGAGAGGAUGAUCAGCCACACUGGGACUGAAACACGGCCCAGACUCCUACGGGAGGCAGCAGUGGGGAAUAUUGGACAAUGGGCGAAAGCCUGAUCCAGCAAUGCCGCGUGAGUGAUGAAGGCCUUAGGGUUGUAAAGCUCUUUUACCCGGGAUGAUAAUGACAGUACCGGGAGAAUAAGCUCCGGCUAACUCCGUG
rnacentral:rRNA from 1 species